UACGUAGGGUGCAGGCGUUAAUCGGAAUUACUGGGCGUAAAGCGUGCGCAGGCGGUGAUGUAAGUCAGGUGUGAAAUCCCCGGGCUUAACCUGGGAACUGCAUUUGUGACUGCAUUGCUGGAGUGCGGCAGAGGGGGAUGGAAUUCCGCGUGUAGCAGUGAAAUGCGUAGAUAUGCGGAGGAACACCGAUGGCGAAGGCAAUCCCCUGGGCCUGCACUGACGCUCAUGCACGAAAGCGUGGGGAGCAAACAGG
rnacentral:rRNA from 1 species